CUGUUAACAUAUUAUGAGGGUGACGCGCCGUCUCUCCUUUUCUCGGUUCCGUGCUUUUCUGUUUUUGUGUAUGCUUCGCAGGAAUGGUGGACCGUGUGGCAGCUUGAUUUGUGUUUCCGAGCUUCGAUGGGUGCGGGGAAGGCGGCCGAGUGUUGGCCUGGUUGCACCUGAGCCGAUGGACGACACAAUGUAGGCAUUUAAGCAAUCAGCUCCUUUAUUUGUUCAUUCUAGUCCAAGUUAGUGCAGCAGCGCUCCGAAACGGGCAGGAUCCGUGGUCUAAAAAAAGAAGAAGAAAAAAAGAAAGUAGUAGGCUGAUAGUCGGUGAUGGCUGCGUCCGUCCAGCAGAACGGCAGCGUACCUGUUGCCUCGUCCUGUUUGCCCGAAAUAGAGCAGAUCAUCCGGAAGCUCGAGCACGGGACCUCACUGAUCAAAUUCUACCAGAAGGGAAGGCCCGAAAAGCGAACCUUUGCGAUCAAGCUCGAGACGAGACAAGUCAUCUGGUGGCGGCCUGUCACAGGUAGAACCGUCGAAGAAGGAGCGGUCGACCUACGCGAAGUGAAGGAAGUUCGGCUGGGCCGCAAUUCCAAGAUUUUCGACCGAUGGCCAGAGGACGCCAGGAAGUGGGACCCGGCCCAGUGCUUCGUAAUUUUUUAUGGGAACACCUUCCGUCUCAAGACUCUUUCUUGUGUUGCUACUUCAGCCAAGGACUGCGAACAAUGGAUCCGUGGGAUCCGGUACCUGACGUCCGACACAGUGACAGCACCUUACCCCCUCCAAGUAGAGCGCUGGCUUCGCAAGGAAUUUUACAGCAUGCAAAAUCCCCGCAAUGUGAUAACUCUAAAAGAUCUCAAAGCAUUCUUCCCAAGAGUCAACUGCAAGCUUUCGACGAACAAACUGAAAGAAUACUUUCAGGAGGUCGACUCCAAACGUGCUGGUGAAAUCGGCUUUGAAGGAUUCGCGUCCCUCUAUCAUAACCUCAUGUAUGAUAAUAAGCUGUUUGCUGACUACUUCAAGCCUUUCUCGCAGGAGGAUGCGAAGGUUACUCCGCAAGCCUUCGAGAGGUUUCUUUCGCAGGAGCAGAAGGAACCUGCGUUGGAAGACGAGCAGUCAAUGAGCAAGUUCAUGCGUGACUACCUUCAAGAUCCUCUUCGGGAUGCCCAAGAGCCUUACUUCACUGUUCCUGAGUUCCUGGACUUUCUGUUCUCGAAACAAAACGAAAUAUGGGACAGCAAGCAUAACCAGGUGAACCAAGACAUGACGCAGCCCCUAACGCAUUACUGGGUGGCAUCUUCACACAACACGUACCUCACUGGGGAUCAGGUGAAGAGUGAAUCGUCUACGGAAGCUUAUGCCAGGUGUCUUUCCAUGAGCUGCCGGUGUAUUGAGCUCGACUGUUGGGAUGGACCUGAUGGAAUGCCCUACGUGUACCAUGGUCACACACUGACAACCAAGAUUAGGUUCAUUGAUGUCAUCAAGGCUAUCAAGGAGCACGCCUUUGUCGUGUCAGAGUAUCCUGUCAUCUUGUCAAUUGAAAACCACUGCACCUUGCCACAACAAAGGAAAAUGGCUAACUUGUUUCAAGAGGUAUUUGGAGAAAUGCUUUUGACACAACCUAUUGAACGAGACGGCACUAGGAUGCCAUCACCGGAGCAACUGAAACGAAAGAUUAUCAUCAAGCAUAAGAAGCUCCCAGAGGGAACAGAUGAAAAGGUGAUCGUCACCAGGAGUGAUGAAGGAGGUCAGGAGACCGAUGUCAGCAAUGCUGUCAAAAAUGGAAUCCUCUUCCUUGAAGAUCCGGUCGACAAAGAGUGGCGGGCCCACUUCUUCAUGCUGACUCAGAACCGGAUGUACUAUGCGGAGGAGCAACAAGCCCAGGAUGAAGAGGACGAGGGCGAAGGUGACGGCACUGGGCUACAGCAGCAGCGUGAGGGCGUGCCGAAUGAGGAGCUUCACUUCGGGGAGAAGUGGUUCCAUGGAAAGUUGGCCGGGGGCAGACUCAAGGCCCAAGAACUGCUGCAGCAGCACUCUCACCUCGGGGAUGGCACCUUCCUGGUGCGGGAGAGUGACACCUUUGUGGGCGACUACUCCCUUUCGUUUUGGCGCCAGGGCAAAGUGAAUCACUGCCGGAUCAAGUCGAAACAGGAGCGGGGUCAGACCAAGUACUACCUAAUUGACACUGUGGCUUUUGACACACUGUACAAUCUGAUCAGUCACUACCAGACACAUCCACUACGCAGCCAGGAGUUCUACAUGUACCUCAACGAACCAGUACCUCAGCCUAACAAGCACGAGGGCAAGGAGUGGUAUCAUGCUAACAUGACGAGAACCCAAUCGGAAGAGCUCCUCAAGCGGGUGAAAUAUGAUGGCACCUUCUUGGUGCGUCCGAGCGAAAAAGAAGACAGCUGCUUUGCCAUAUCCUUCAGGGCCGAGAACAAGAUCAAGCACUGCCGCAUCAAGCAGGAGGGUCGCCUGUUCCUGAUUGGCACGGCCCAGUUUGAGAGCCUGGUUGAGCUGGUCAGCUAUUAUGAGAAGCAUCCUUUGUACCGCAAGGUCAAGCUCAAGUACCCCGUCAAUGAAGAUGUCAUCCGGCGCAUUGGAACCGAGCCCGAGGAGAGUCCCCCGCAUGCUGGGGGACCCGCGGGGACCUACAUGGACCCGGACAGCUUUUCGGGGGCCUCCCAGAUGACGGUGAAGGCCCUGUAUGACUAUCGGGCUCAACGAGAGGACGAACUGUCAUUCUGCAAGCACGCCAUCAUCACGCACGUGGUGCGCCAGGAUGGGGGCUGGUGGCGGGGCAACUACGGUGGCAAGCGCCACCACUGGUUCCCGGCCAACUUUGUCGAGGUCCUCGACACGCAGGAUGCCUCGGAGGAUGGGUCUGGGGAAGCGAUGCCACUAGGAACCCUGCAGAAGGGCAGCAUUGACAUUGCAGGCUGCACCGUCGACAUCCUGCAGAGCUGGCCGGGUCGAGGACGGGAAUGGGUGUUCCGCAUCGUGUCGCCCACGCAGCUGGUGCCCAUCGAGAUUGCAGCACUGUCCAGGGAAGAGAUGCACGACUGGGUCCUCAAGAUCCGGGAAACUGCCCAGUCGGCCAACGACAUGAUCCAGCAGAGAAGGGAAAUGGAACGGAGCUUGAGGCUUGCUAAGGAAUUAUCCAACCUCAUCAUCUACUGCAGAUCUGUGCAGUUCUGUCCCGAGAGAAUCGGGAAUUUCACGGAGAUGUCGUCGUUCCCAGAAACGAAGGUUGAGAAAUGGAUAAGUCCUCAGCAUUGCUCUUUCUUCCUCAAAUACCACCGACUUCAGUUCAGCCGUGUGUACCCCAAGGGCAGUCGCAUUGAUUCCUCCAACUAUGACCCUGUCCACCUGUGGAACUGUGGCUGCCAGAUGGUGGCUCUGAAUUACCAGACUCCAGAUCGACCAAUGCAGUUGAACCAAGGCAGGUUCCUGCAGAACGGAAGGUCUGGCUAUGUCCUCCGUCCUGAGUUCAUGCACGAAGAUGGCUAUGAUCCAUACGAUCGGACCAGCUUGAAGUCUGUGCACCCAGUCACACUGGCCAUCAAGGUGAUAGCUGCUCGCCAUCUCAUGAAGUCUGGGCGUGGGAUUGUUAGUCCUUUUGUGGAGAUUGAGAUUGUUGGAGCAGACUUUGACUGCAGCAAAUACAAGACGGGGACCAUUCCGGACAAUGGUCUGAACCCGAUCUGGAAUGAGGCAUUCAUGUUUGAUGUCUGCAAUCCCAGCGUGGCCCUUCUCCGUUUUGUUGUUCAGGACGAGGACAUGUUUGGUGACCCCAAUUUCCUCGGCCAGGUCACCUAUCCUGUGAGCUGCCUCAGGACUGGAUAUCGCAGUGUGCCACUCAAGAAUGAAUACAGUGAAGAACUGGAGCUUGCAUCUUUACUUAUUCAUCUGGAAGUGUAUGCUACGAGGGAGGAAGAUGAAGCGUACGUGUGCAUCCAGCGACUGCGGGAUGAAAGCCGGGAACUUGGGCGUGCGCUCGAGGAGAGCGAGCGUCGAGGCGACUUGCAGCAGGCCCAGGCCCUGCGCCAGCAGCUCUCAACCACUCAGGAACAGCUCCGCACAAAGCACGAGGAGCGCAGAAACAGCAAACAGUGGUGAAGAAGAAAGGGAACUAAAAACAUACAAAUGGGCCCCCUGGUGACAUUGCAACGGGUUAGUUACUCGACCACUCUUGCCUCUCCUUAAGUGACUUAACCUCGAUACCAAAGGUUGGAAUUGGAAAGAUCUCAGCCUGCUUGAUCUGCCAUGGGGAUCCUCGACAGCACAUUUCAACCCGACCGAUCAGCCGGAUGUGUGCCUCGGUUCAGACGACAGUCUUUGUGUAAUUUCGUCCAGUGUGAGUGUUGGUGUGGCAUUUUAUGGAUCAAUGCCUUUGAAAAGUUAGCUAUUUUUUGGUGCUCUUGCCAGCCACUCAGCACAGAUGUCUCGGCCUUUCUUUGUCUUGGUGUGUGUACAUAAUAUAUAUUUUUCCAAGAUAUCAACCUGAAGGACCCAGAAUCUGGUAGACGCUGACUUGCGGUUUCAAAGACCAAACCACGAGAUUGCAGAUAGAAUAAAUUGUUUGUGCCUGGGUUUUAGAAGUAGGCUGUGUAAUGUUUACACAGCCUACUCCUAAGGCCUUCUGUCGUGACACAGUUUUCAGAGACUGUGUCUUUCUAGUAGCACAAACGUUUCUUCCAGUUUCACCAGUCAUUCCCUUAAAUUUACCUAGGGGCUGUUUAACACAAUACAUUGCUGAUGGAACUGUGCAUUGUGAAAGGGCUUUUCCAUUCACUUCCCAUUUUUGAAGGAUCUUUUAUGCGGCCACUAUAAAGUAGAUGCACAGUGAUAUGUUUUCAUGCAACAAAAUUAGAAGCGUUACUAUGUUUGUUACGAGUCAUUUAAGGGCAGGGAAGCAAUGUUGUCAAAGUUCUACCAGGUGCUACUAAAACAAUGUAUAUAAAUCCACUUAAUAUUAGUAGUCCGAGAAGGCAUUUACAGCUUUAGCACACCUCACUACUUUAUUACCAGCACGCUUCAGGGAAUGAAAUCCGGGCAUUGUGGAAACAUUUCUGAACAUUUACAGCUUCAUCGAUAAAGUUUUAUUGGCAAAUUGUUUUGUAAUUUAAUAUUUUCAUUAAUGUGCAGCAUUAAGAUAUGAGAUUUCUUUCGCUAUUAUACUAUUACAUCUUUGGAACAUUAAUUGUUGUACUGAGUGUUGCACUGAAUGUCGGCCAAACUUUUCUUAAGAAAACUAUGCAUUGCAUAGAAAAACGAUUGGAGCCGUAUCAUUCAUUGUUGAGGAGCCAAUUUAGUGAGGUUUUAGGAUAAUCAAGUUUAUUAUUAAUUUCCCACCUUUUGAGUAACAUAAACAUGAUUCCAAUGAGAAAAUUGCCAACCAUCAUCAAAAACCACAAAAGCAGUAAAUUUUAGAGUGAUUUAGAAAAUAUGGGAAGCAUGGUGUUCCACAAAAAGUUACUGUUAAAUGGUGCAAUGCUGGCAGAGUGAAAAUUUAGAUAAGAAACGGAAACACUGCGGACGUUUAGAAUUUUGAUGCAUUCUUGAGACCCAGAAAAAUGAAGCACGUGCUCCAAAUCUUACUAAAAUUGAGACCUUGUGAUUUUUGAUGAUGCCCAGCGAAUUUUUAAUUGGGCUACAUGUUUAUUGAGACUAAUUAAGUAGUUAUGCAAAAUUAGUAGAAAAGCUUCAUUACCCUAAAUGCUAUAUACAGGGCAAUUAAUUCUAAUUCAAAGAUUAAAAAAACAAACACGAGGUGAGGGUUAGACGAGUUCUAUCUUCACUAUGUAUUUAUCAGGCUCGGCGGACAGUGGAUGAGGGUAUGAUCGUUGCGGUAAGUUGCCUAAUUAACUAAAAUCUGUUGUUUAACUUUUUAAAUAUUGGUUUUAGGUGUCAUUUUGGAAUUGCAGUAUUGAUGACAAUUAUUACUAGAGGCCAGACCAAUGAACUUUCACAUUUUUUUCGCUCAAUUUACAAAAUUGCAGUGGCUUAGCUCGGUUAUGCCAGGAUAUACGUAGCGUAAGCUUAGGUUCAAUUGGUUAUUCUUAGCUUUCCUGGUUGUCUAGGAUUAGCUUGAUUAUCAUGCUUACCGCUGCUUCCAUGAUGCACACACGGUAUACGCAUUAUGUGACUACUUCGGGAUCCGAUGACUCCGCUCUUCUUAUUGCGGAGGAGGCGCCGUGUAACCGAGCUUUCGGUUGCAUGUCAAAAGAUUCUCAGGUGGUCCAAAUUAAUCCUCAGUCCUCCGCUGGGGCGUGCCAUAUACCCGUUGUUGGUUUGGCCAGCUGUGCGCCGUGUUGUUAUGUAUCAAGCAACCAAGCUGCCGCCCAGAAUAACCGGACAGCGCGAGCCAUGAUCUCGAGCGGGUACAUGCGCGCGGCGCGUGCAUGGGGGACUGACCUAGGCGCCAUACCAGUCCUGUCUGUUCCGUCACUGCUCCUCGCGCAUGCGCAGCACAGCUCUCCAGGAGCCAUGCGAAACUGCUCAACCUCGGUCAGUGUAGCUUACGCUACAAAAUUGUGUUUUAAAAGGGCGUUGCAAGCCCUGCCCACGUUGCCAAUUGGAAGAGUGACAUAGUCGUUUCAGUUGCGUCGUCACGUGUGUCAUCAGCGCACCCACCAAGGGCGCGCUACCGAGAUUGUGACGGCAUGAUUGAAAUGACUAUGUCACUCUUCGAAGCGUCAAUGUGGGCAGAACUUGCGACAUCCUUUUAAAGCAUAAUUUUUAAAUCAAGCGGAAAAAAUGCGGAAGUUGAUGUAUUAAUAUAUAGGAAACUAUUACCUUUCUGCAUAUUGUAACUGCCGUCAAUACUCAAACUGCAACAUGACCCCUAAAACCCAUAAUUAAAGUUAAUUAAACGGCAACUCCGGUCAAUAUUUUAGAAUUUGGGAUUACGACUGUUUUCAGUUCAGUCAGUAUACCUAAAUCACAAGGUAUAUAUUUUUUUUUUCGAUAUUGUGCAUAGUUUUCAAAAUAUCACGGCUCAAGUUUGAUUUCGGGUGUCUACGGCAAAUCCGGAACUAUCUGCUCAAGGGGGAUGGCAACAGUGAUCAUCAGCUGUAUGGCCGCGACGUGACGUCGCCGUGGUGCAACGUAUGUGUUACAACGUACGGAAACAACUGCAGCACCACUGCGACGUGAUGUCGGGGUGCUGUGGUACACGUCGCCCAGUGUUGCUUGACUAAAAUUAACCCGCUUGCCAUCCACUAAAGAGCAGCUGGUCGCAACUUUAAAGAAGCCGGUUUUGGUGGAGUACACGGCUUCACUUUGACGCAAUGUUUCAACUGUAAUAGAUACAAGGUGUUCCAAAAAAAUUUUUUUACAGUGUUUAUUGAACCGCAAAAAAUAAACUAUGCACAGCCAACCGCUCAUUCUCUGCCCAAAUGUAAAGCUAGAGUUCCGAGCCAGAUGCCAAAGUUUCAGCGCAAACCGAUAUCUUAUUCAAAAGUUUUGUGAUUUCCUGAAAAUUUCAAUGGGAAAAUGGGGCCCAUUUUUGCCUGUUUUCGGUUUAUAGCGCCAUAGAGCUCCAUGUAUUUGAGAGCUCUGUCGGCCGCCAUUUUCUCAUCUAAAUUUGUAGAAAAUCACUUGUAACUUUUGAAUAAGAUAACGGUUAGUGCUGAAACUUUGACAACUGAUUUGGACCUCUAGCGCUAUAUUUGGGUGGGCAAUGAUCACUCGGCGAUGCAUAGUUUAUUUUAGCGGUGAAAAAAAAAAGCGGAUGAAUUUCUUUUUGGGACACCCCGUACAUGGUGAAAACGGAGCUCGUCCAAACUCUCACCUCAUAAUAAAAAAUAAAAAAAAAAAAAAAUCUGUUUGAAUUAAAAUUAAGCACUCUCUAUACCUCGGUAAAUAGGCUCCUUGACAGUGACUAAUACUGUAUCAAUCUGAUUUCUGUAUAAGGCAUAGUUUUUACACACAACUUUGGGCCAAUGUUCGGUGAAGCACCCUGUAUACAAUCGCAAACAAAUUCUGCAUUGGGUAGCAUGAUCUUGGCAAAGUUUUUAUUUAUUUGUGGCAUCUAUUGAUGCUCAUGCCUGUCUGUUAAUAGUGUCAUUUUGGUGAGUUUACACCAAGUAUUUAACUCUUUAUUGAAAGAAUGGAAAGGUGUUUGUCAUAGCUUCUGAUGCAGCACUGAAUUCCAACCAUAACAAAUGCUCUCAAUUUGCCUUGGACCUCUUUCAAUUCGUAAAUCUUUCAUGGGAACAUGUUUGUGUCCCAAGCAUGGAAAGGCAGACGUUGCCAAGAACCUUCGAUGAGCUUCAUCUGAGGGCAUGCUUUAGCCAACAGUUGAACCAUGAUUGUGGAAAGAGCAUAGUGAGCACUAAUUUUACUAAUUGCUCAGGAUGUAAUAAAUUCAAUGUGGUUUUGAGGUCAGGUCAUUUUAAGAAAUAUGUUUCAGCAUGACUUGUCUAAUGGCAGCACUCUAGUGGAUUGAAAAUAUGCGUGCUGCAAUACUUAGUGUCUCUGUGGAAAAACAUGUGCAGAGUUCUACUGACAAACUUUGGUUUUCUAGCCAAUUACUUCCGAAGUAUUACCAGAUUUGCUGACAUUGUGAACUUAGUGUCAUGCUGAUAACUGAGGAGACAGUCUUCCACUCAUGCCAAUUGUAACUAUAUGAUAGCUGGGUGCAAGCAAGGAUCAUGUGGUGGUCUGGGAGUCUCUUAUCGUAACAAAUUAUCUUAUCAUGAGCUCAAAUUAGAUUUGUUUGUCUUCGAGUUAUUAGUAUUAGCAGACUUAAUUUCAUGCAAACAGGAAUUAGCACUUUUUUUUUACUGAUUUCAGUUAUGCAGUAUUUAUUUUAAAAUCUACAUUGUGAUUAGAAAAAAAAAAACAGUUCAUAUUGUUGUGCCACCAUAUAGGUCACAAAAGUCAGUUAUACUAUUGUGGUGAGAACAAAAGUAAUGGAUGUAGAAUGCUGCCAGAGAGUAGUCACAAAAAAGGUGCAGCAUAGCACAGCUAUUUUGCACUGUCCGACAUGCAGCACAUAAUAUUAAACCAUAAGGGCGCCUUCAAGCAUCUUUGUAGUAUGCCUCGUAAUAUGUGAAAUAUGUUAUUUGUGUAAGUUAUAUUAGUGCUGAAUGUAAUGUGCAAUGAGAGUUACGUGCUCUAAGAUGUGCAUUUAAAAGAUGUGAUGUGUAGAGCAAGAUGGUAGAUGGGGCUUGCGUCAAAUGCGAGGUCAGUGCCACUCCAGAAUACUUACUGCCAGUGAUGGCAUUGCUCCUUUGCCAUAAGAUGUUCCACAAACUACUUUUUGUGUGUUGUAUAAACUUCGAUGUUUUAAAAUUAAGGCAUCCUAUGCAGGAACGGAAGCAGCUAAGUACAUAUAGCUUUUCCUUUAGUAUACUAUUGUUGAGGAGUGACGACUGUAACCUGGAUGUCUUAUUUUAAAGCUGGUCCUCUCUUGCCUUUAAGCACUGGUUGCAUUUGCCCAUGGGCAUGUUCUCUUUUGCAAUUUUUUUCACGGUUUGAUGCAGCAUUUUUGUUGUGCUGUACCUUCAACAUGCCUGUUUGCCUCUCAUACCAUCAUAUGCCAGUUUGAAAUGUAAAUGUUUCAUGUUGCCGUUUUUGUUAAAAAUAUUUAUUAGCACUCGUUAAGAGGAAGCAUGCCAUUUCAAAUUUUAGUCUGGUGUAAUAAAGUCACUGCAUUAUGCCUGA